AGGAAGGAACCGCUCAAUUACUUCCUAUGAACCGUUACUUAAAGAAGACCCACAACUAAACCACUAGAGACAAGUACCUUUCUGGCAAUGCUGUGAGAGCAAACAUCAUCCUGAAGGUGGUAAAACUAGAACAAAGACUUGAAAAUAUGACAAAGCUGUAGAGUGUGAUCAGAGGGCUAGAAAAUAUGACCUCUGAGUCAAGAUUGAAAGAACUGUCUGUCUUCAGUGCAUGAAAGACUGAAGGGAAGUGCAGUAACACUCCUGAAAUAUGUAAAAGGGUAUGCAAAGGGGCAGGUAAUAAAUUUUUUCCUUCACUAUGGGAUAGGACAAGAAGUAAUGCACUUGAUUUACAGCAAGGAAGAUUCAUGUUCAACAUUACUAAAACUUUUGUAUGGAAAGGACAGUUAAGCACGGCAAACAGAUCACUUUGGAGAAGACUGGAAUCUUGAGCAAUAGAGCCUUCUCUGAGAAGAGAAAUAUCCUGAUUCCCAUGAAACCUUCCCCAUGAAGAUUUUCUUGCAUUCAAGCUAGAAAUGUGGUCAGAGAGACACGGCUGCACCAUGACCCAGAGCAAGCAUAUGAACUCAAAUCUCCAACAUCUGCUAGGCUAAUAACUAUUCUGAAAUGUACUUGCCUCUCUUCCCUGAGCUCCCACAUCUUCUCCCUCAAUGACAAAAAUCGGCUUCCACGCAGCUCUUUUCUGAAUUUCCUCCAAACACGAGGCACUCUCUGAGUGUCCUAGCCAGUGUUACACCUAUAUUUGCAGAUUUAUCUAGCUACUUGAUCACAGCUGAUUUUGCAUUCCUGAAUAAUAGAAGCGUUUUUACCUUACCUGUUUCAAGCACUGUUCAGCACUUACUGGCUUCAAAGUGAAGCUGAAUCCUGCCACCUUGUGCUCAAGAAAAUUAGCACAACUCUUUAUUUUGGGAAGGAGGAGGAAGGGAGAAGGAAAAGUUAGCUGUAACUACCAUAUUUCUAAUAAACAAGGAAUUAAAUGA